CUGUAAGUAGGUUAGCAAAUACUUGGAAAUGUCUUAAUUUGUUUUACAGUUACUACUUCAGGGAGAUACAUUUUUUUUAGGAAAGGAAAAGGCUUAUAUCUUUCUGAGGCCUCCAUUGCAGAACUGGGAGCUGGCAAAGUAAGUUUGGUCUCGCAGUACCAUCAGAUCGUCUUCUGCUUCUACAUGCCCAUCUCCAGGUACAGGAGAACAGGUGCUUGACACCAGCUGCUGGUUCAUAACUGUGAUACAAACCCCAUGCAAAAAUUCUGCGUCAUACAAGCAAUAUUCCCAACCUCUUCAGUAGUAAUGUUGCAGCCACCUCUAAAAAACAGGAUAUAACUCUUUGUAGCUUUAUAUAGGUAAAGGAAGCAUUUUUCACCCACAACCCCAUGACCCAAAACAUUCAACCGUGUCUUGAUAAAGGUUCAUCGGAAGACAAGUUCUUAUUUCUUCCACA
rnacentral:lncRNA from 1 species